rnacentral:sRNA from 1 species
AACAGAAGUACGCAGGCUAAGAUCGCCCAAUGCCCGCAUGAUCUACUUCCUGUAGA